rnacentral:rRNA from 1 species
AUUGAACGCUGGCGGCAGGCUUAACACAUGCAAGUCGAGCGAGCGGCGGACGGGUGAGUACUGUCUGGGAAACUGCCCGAUGGAGGGGGAUAACUACUGGAAACGGUAGCUAAUACCGCCCACCAUCAGAUGUGCCCAGAUGGGAUUAGCUAGUAGGUGGGGUAAUGGCUAACCUAGGCGACGAUCCCUAGCUGGUCUGAGAGGAUGACCAUCCAAACUGGAACUGAGACACGGUCCAGACUCCUACGGGAGACAGCAGUGGGGAAUAUUUCACAAUGGGCGCAAGCCUGAUGCAGCCAUGCCGCGUGGAUGAAGAAGGCCUUCGGGUUGUAAAGUACUUUCAGCGAGGAGGCGUUACUCGCAGAAGAAGCACCGGCUAACUCCGUGCCAGCAGCCGCGGUAAUUC